rnacentral:rRNA from 1 species
UUAAGCGACUAAGCGUACACGGUGGAUGCCCUGGCAGUCAGAGGCGAUGAAGGACGUGCUAAUCUGCGAAAAGCGUCGGUAAGGUGAUAUGAACCGUUACAGCCGGCGAUGUCCGAAUGGGGAAACCCAGUGCAAUUCGUUGCACUAUCGUUAACUGAAUACAUAGGUUAACGAGGCGAACCGGGGGAACUGAAACAUCUAAGUACCCCGAGGAAAAGAAAUCAACCGAGAUUCCCCCAGUAGCGGCGAGCGAACGGGGAGCAGCCCGGAGUCUGAAUCAGCUUGUGUGUUAGUGGAAGCGUCUGGAAAGUCGCAGGGUACAGGGUGAUACUCCCGUACACUAAAACACACAGGCUGUGAACUCGAAGAGUAGGGCGGGACACGUGGUAUCCUGUCUGAAUAUGGGGGGACCAUCCUCCAAGGCUAAAUACUCCUGACUGACCGAUAGUGAACCAGUACCGUGAGGGAAAGGCGAAAAGAACCCCGGCGAGGGGAGUGAAAAAGAACCUGAAACCGUGUACGUACAAGCAGUAGGAGCCCCACCACCAAAGCGUUUCGCUUUGCGUGGUGCGCAAAAUGCGUAACGACAGCAUGAUGGACGGUUAACGGAGCGUCAGCGACGUUCAACCUCAAAAAUCAGGCAGUGGAGCGUUUUGGGGUGGGGUGACUGCGUACCUUUUGUAUAAUGGGUCAGCGACUUAUAUUCUGUAGCAAGGUUAACCGUAUAGGGGAGCCGCAGGGAAACCGAGUCUUAACUGGGCGUUAAGUUGCAGGGUAUAGACCCGAAACCCGGUGAUCUAGCCAUGGGCAGGUUGAAGGUUGGGUAACACUAACUGGAGGACCGAACCGACUAAUGUUGAAAAAUUAGCGGAUGACUUGUGGCUGGGGGUGAAAGGCCAAUCAAACCGGGAGAUAGCUGGUUCUCCCCGAAAGCUAUUUAGGUAGCGCCUCGUGAAUUCAUCUUCGGGGGUAGAGCACUGUUUCGGCUAGGGGGUCAUCCCGACUUACCAACCCGAUGCAAACUACGAAUACCGAAGAAUGUUAUCACGGGAGACACACGGCGGGUGCUAACGUCCGUCGUGAAGAGGGAAACAACCCAGACCGCCAGCUAAGGUCCCAAAGUCAUGGUUAAGUGGGAAACGAUGUGGGAAGGCCCAGACAGCCAGGAUGUUGGCUUAGAAGCAGCCAUCAUUUAAAGAAAGCGUAAUAGCUCACUGGUCGAGUCGGCCUGCGCGGAAGAUGUAACGGGGCUAAACCAUGCACCGAAGCUGCGGCAGCGACACUAUGUGUUGUUGGGUAGGGGAGCGUUCUGUAAGCCGUUGAAGGUGGCCUGUGAGGGUUGCUGGAGGUAUCAGAAGUGCGAAUGCUGACAUAAGUAACGAUAAUGCGGGUGAAAAACCCGCACGCCGGAAGACCAAGGGUUCCUGUCCAACGUUAAUCGGGGCAGGGUGAGUCGACCCCUAAGGCGAGGCCGAAAGGCGUAGUCGAUGGGAAACAGGUUAAUAUUCCUGUACUUGGUGUUACUGCGAAGGGGGGACGGAGAAGGCUAUGUUGGCCGGGCGACGGUUGUCCCGGUUUAAGCAUGUAGGCGGAUGUUCCAGGUAAAUCCGGAACGUUAUUAACGCUGAGGUGUGAUGACGAGGCACUACGGUGCUGAAGUGACAAAUGCCCUGCUUCCAGGAAAAGCCUCUAAGCAUCAGGUAACAUCAAAUCGUACCCCAAACCGACACAGGUGGUCAGGUAGAGAAUACCAAGGCGCUUGAGAGAACUCGGGUGAAGGAACUAGGCAAAAUGGUGCCGUAACUUCGGGAGAAGGCACGCUGAUGGUAGGUGAAGUGACUUGCUCAUGGAGCUGAAAUCAGUCGAAGAUACCAGCUGGCUGCAACUGUUUAUUAAAAACACAGCACUGUGCAAACACGAAAGUGGACGUAUACGGUGUGACGCCUGCCCGGUGCCGGAAGGUUAAUUGAUGGGGUUAUCCUCACGGAGAAGCUCUUGAUCGAAGCCCCGGUAAACGGCGGCCGUAACUAUAACGGUCCUAAGGUAGCGAAAUUCCUUGUCGGGUAAGUUCCGACCUGCACGAAUGGCGUAAUGAUGGCCAGGCUGUCUCCACCCGAGACUCAGUGAAAUUGAACUCGCUGUGAAGAUGCAGUGUACCCGCGGCAAGACGGAAAGACCCCGUGAACCUUUACUAUAGCUUGACACUGAACACUGGUCCUUGAUGUGUAGGAUAGGUGGGAGGCUUUGAAGUGUGGACGCCAGUCUGCAUGGAGCCGUCCUUGAAAUACCACCCUUUAAUGGCUGGUGUUCUAACGUGGGCCCCUAAUCGGGGUUGCGGACAGUGUCUGGUGGGUAGUUUGACUGGGGCGGUCUCCUCCUAAAGAGUAACGGAGGAGCACGAAGGUCAGCUAAUCCUGGUCGGACAUCAGGAGGUUAGUGCAAUGGCAUAAGCUGGCUUGACUGCGAGCGUGACGGCGCGAGCAGGUGCGAAAGCAGGUCAUAGUGAUCCGGUGGUUCUGAAUGGAAGGGCCAUCGCUCAACGGAUAAAAGGUACUCCGGGGAUAACAGGCUGAUACCGCCCAAGAGUUCAUAUCGACGGCGGUGUUUGGCACCUCGAUGUCGGCUCAUCACAUCCUGGGGCUGAAGUAGGUCCCAAGGGUAUGGCUGUUCGCCAUUUAAAGUGGUACGCGAGCUGGGUUUAGAACGUCGUGAGACAGUUCGGUCCCUAUCUGCCGUGGGCGCUGGAGAAUUGAGGGGGGCUGCUCCUAGUACGAGAGGACCGGAGUGGACGCAUCACUGGUGUUCGGGUUGUCAUGCCAAUGGCAUUGCCCGGUAGCUAAAUGCGGAAGAGAUAAGUGCUGAAAGCAUCUAAGCACGAAACUUGCCCCGAGAUGAGUUCUCCCUGACUCCUUGAGAGUCCUGAAGGAACGUUGAAGACGACGACGUUGAUAGGCCGGGUGUGUAAGCGCAGCGAUGCGUUGAGCUAACCGGUACUAAUGAACCGUGAGGCUUAACCUU